rnacentral:rRNA from 1 species
UGGCGGCAUGCUUUACACAUGCAAGUCGAGCGGCAGCGCGGGGGCAACCCUGGCGGCGAGCGGCGAACGGGUGAGUAACGCAUCGGAACGUAUCCCGUAAUGGGGGAUAACCCGGCGAAAGCCGGGCUAAUACCGCAUACGCACUACGGUGGAAAGCGGGGGAUCCGCAAGGACCUCGCGUUAUGGGAGCGGCCGAUGCCCGAUUAGCUUGUUGGUGGGGUAAUGGCUUACCAAGGCGACGAUCGGUAGCUGGUCUGAGAGGAUGAUCAGCCACACUGGGACUGAGACACGGCCCAGACUCCUACGGGAGGCAGCAGUGGGGAAUUUUGGACAAUGGGGGCAACCCUGAUCCGGCCAUGCCGCGUGCGGGAAGAAGGCCUUCGGGUUGUAAACCGCUUUUAGCCGGGAAGAAAAGGCGCGAGCUAAUACCUUGCGUUUUUGACGGUACCGGCGGAAUAAGCACCGGCUAACUACGUGCCAGCAGCCGCGGUAAUACGUAGGGUGCGAGCGUUAAUCGGAAUUACUGGGCGUAAAGCGUGCGCAGGCGGUUCGUCGUGUCCGAUGUGAAAGCCCCGGGCUCAACCUGGGAAUGGCAUUGGAAACUGGCGGGCUUGAGUGUGG